rnacentral:tRNA from 1 species
AUUUAUAUAGUUUAAAUAAAACAUUACAUUUUCACUGUAAAAAUAAAAAACUUCUUUUUUAUAAAUA